rnacentral:lncRNA from 10 species
GUGCUUUUUUUCCCUUCUUGCUACAAGGGUGAGAACAGGGAAAGAACCAAACGAUCUGUGUUUACUUUGAGCAGCCAUACACCAUGCAUGGACACUAAGGUAUGGUUUUCCUUCAAUUAUUCCAAAUUAGUAUAAUGAAAACAUGCUUAUCCCUCGAGCCAUUAGAUGCGUAUAAUGCAGAAGAGAUGCAGUAAUGGAGUUGCCUUAUAUGCUCCUCUGAAGCAGAAGCAAGUGAAAGAGACAAGUAAGAUGAUUAGAAAAACUUUGACUUUCUAAAACAAAUAAGCAGUAAAUGAACUGAUUGAGUGCAAAACUUCACAGAACCACACAAAGAACUGGAGCUUCAAACUGUAACUUUAAAAAUAGUAGGGUGAAAAAUUAAGGGGCUCUAACAUGAAACAAAUUCUUCUAAACCCUGAUGCCACUUGUUUUGCAGCAGCUCCUUACACCUUUAUCAGAUACUGUCUUGUGCUGCUCUCAGUUUUCCGGACCAUACAAACGUGGAGGGCAACGGUCACACCUUUGAUCUAUUUUGUAUCUUCCAAAGCUGUGUCAGAAACAUAGUAGAUGAUCCAUGCAUGCCACUUCUUGGCCAUAACUCUUCACAUCUGUGUUUGGCUUUAUAGUUUGUAAAUUCUUUCAUUUAUGUAGUCUUCUUAGAUCCUCAAGAUAACUCAGUGAAGUAUGCUUGCUUGCUGUUUUUAAUCUCAACUUAACAGAUUUAAGGAAAUGGUAAUUGAAUAGGUAAUUGCAAAACCCAGGGUCACCCAGGUGAUAAAUGAUACAUCCAGGAAAAGAAUGUGUUCUCUCCCCUAUGCAAAUGAUUGAUAGGUGGAUUGACUUCCAUGCUUUAGCAGAUGUGUCAAAUUUCACAUCCGCAUUAACACUUCUAAUCCUGUAACGUAAUUCUGUCUUUUUAUAGAUGUCAAACUGGUUUUAUCUCAGAAAAGGGAACUGCAAA